rnacentral:rRNA from 1 species
CAGUAGCCGCGGGAAAACGAACCGUGCAAACGUUACUCGGAAUCACUGGGCUUAAAGCGCACGUAGGCGGCGACAUAAGUUAGAGGUGAAAUCCCAUCGGCUCAACCGUGGAACUGCCUCUAACACUGUGUUGCUUGAGGGAGAACGGGGCAUUCGGAACUUCCGGUGGAGCGGUGAAAUGUGUUGAUAUCGGAAGGAACGCCGGUGGCGAAAGCGGAAUGCUGGGUCUCUUCUGACGCUGAGGUGCGAAAGCUAGGGUAGCGAACGGGAUUAGAUACCCCCGUAGUCCCUGUCUCUUAUA